CAUAUAUUUUCUAAAAAUUGUUGAGAUAGUUUUGAGGCACUUUGUAGGUUAACAUGAGAGGCCACAGUAUUAUAUUAAUUGUGUGCUCUAAUCCUCUACACGUAUGCACUUUAUUUACUUAUGAUUAGCACAAGACCAGAGGUGUAUAUGCUUGCUGUUUUAUUUGUUUUAGUGUCAGAGACUUGCAGAAAUUCUCUUCUCCACCAAAUUACAUGAUAAUAUCAAGAUCCAGCUAUUACGGUUUGUAUGGUUUCUUUUCUUGGGAAACGAGCCUCUAUUUCUUAAGAAUUAAUACUCGUCUGACAUGAAUUUAAGAUCCCUAAUUAUUUUUUUGAAUUCAGAACCACCUUUUCUUUUUUAUAUGCAUCUUUUAUGUGUUUGUUAGGCAAUGGCACGUUUUUAAUCUUAUAUCCUGUUUUUCCUUAUAACGUUUAGCACUUGUGGCAUUUUAAUAUGUUGUUUACAAUGACUGUAGUAGUAGGGAACUAUAUUUGCACCAUGCUCCGUUCUUUCCACAUCUAACCUCAACACAAUAUGUGAACCUUUUCAAUAUUCAGUCUGUCUUACUGCUUCCUGAGAAGGCUCAAAAUUAGGCUCUUGAGUUUAUUGAACAAAAUCUAGUGUAGUUAGAAUUAGCAGCCAAGUUUCUUAACCCCGGUCUGUUACCAUGGUGGAAACACUGACCGCAUUGCUCUAUUUCUAUCGUAGCUGAAAACAGUUUACUAUGGUAACUGAUGGAACUGAUGAUGACAUUUGUAGCUCAGAGCAGCAAAUAACAGUUCACUGUUUGUAUAACCAAAUUAAAUGGAUUGUGAUUUGGGUACGGGCUUAGUUCCAUUCUUCAGAAAGUAUGCAUGUGUGCUUGUGUGUUAUAUAUCAAUGUUAUGAAAAUCAGACCAGACUUGUCCAUAUGAACCACAAAACUGCUUUGAACACAAACUGCCCUCCUUUGUUAAAGCUGCUUAGAGCUGUGUGGUUGAACCAGUCACUCGUUCAAGCUGGCAACGGUUUACUUUGACCGACUGUUUUCUAAACUCCUCUAAAUUUUGGCUUAGGGCUCUUUCAGCCCUCAUUCCGUCAUUCAGUUUUUUCAUCCUCAUUCAGUCUUCACUCCUCAAACCCCCAUAUCAGUGACGGAUGAAGAAUCUGUGUUUAGUUUAUUCGAUUUUGUGUAUCUAUGAUGCUUUUUUGUAAUUUUAAUACUUGUAUUUUUUUAAUUUAAAUUUUGUAAUAUAUUUGAGACAUUUGAUCUUAGUUGAUCCGGCAUUUGAACCAAUGGCGAUUUAAUCCAUUUUUCUGGUUUCCCUGACCAUUUGUUUUUAUUUACUUGUUUUGUGCAGGAUGAUUUGAAGGAUUGGACUAUUGAUGUGCUCACAGAUGCACUAACUCGUGCCGAAGAAACUGUCAGACACAGGCCCAAGUGAAUUCGUUUAAAAAUAGCCUCCAAUUAUAAACCAUUUGCAGCUGCCAAGUUUUGCAGUGUCACCUUCUUACGGCCGUGUGCAAGUUGUAUUUUUUGUUCGUUGUUCACCCUAGUGUUCCAGACUCACCUAAUAAUUUGUUGUGUCCGAGAAGUUAUAUGAUAUUCUUGGAAUCUUACGUGCCCACGCCACAAUAGGGACAUGUCUCCAUUUUUGCAAAGGGAAUUAGUUGCUGAUAAACAGUAGGCUUGAUCGAAAUAUUUUUAUUUUUAAUCAAAUGCAAGUUGCAUCAAAAGAUUUCAUUGUAUUAUUUUAUUUUUGGACGAAUUAUACUAAUAGUUCUUAUAGUUUUGGGACUCGUGUCA